rnacentral:tRNA from 1 species
GGGGCAGUAGCUCAGUUGGGAGAGCGUCGCGUUCGCAAUGCGAAGGUCAGGGGUUCGAUUCCCCUCUGCUCCA